rnacentral:lncRNA from 1 species
GAUUCUUGAAUCUUCUUUUUAGCAUUUUUGAGUGAGCACAUAUGUGCAUUGGUUGCUAGAUGGAGAAGAAUCGGCUAGCAAGUUGUGUGCUAAGGCCGAAUAUAAUUUUUGUAUAUUAAUGAGUAAUGCAUGUGUUAAAUUGAUGGAAAGGGAGAGGAUGCUUUACUAGUGUAUAUAUGUGUGUAUUAGCCAAGUUUUGAACUUGAAACAAAAUGAUGUUUAGUCAAUACAAGUAACCAUACUUGUAGAAUGUAUUAAGUGUUGCAAUCGGCCCC